rnacentral:tRNA from 1 species
AAUAGGUUUUUUUAGUCCUCUAAACUAAUUUUGAGUUUUUUUUCACACAUAUUG